GACCAGACUCCUACGGGAGGCAGCAGUGAGGAAUAUUGGUCAAUGGGCGGGAGCCUGAACCAGCCAAGCCGCGUGAGGGAAGAAGGUACAGCGUAUCGUAAACCUCUUUUGUCAGGGAACAAAGGCGGGGACUAGUCCCCGGAUGAGGGUACCUGAAGAAAAAGCAUCGGCUAACUCCGUGCCAGCAGCCGCGGUAAUACGGAGGAUGCGAGCGUUAUCCGGAUUUAUUGGGUUUAAAGGGUGCGCAGGCGGCUGGUAAGGCAGGGGGAAAAAGCCGGGGGCCAACCCCGGGCGAGCCGUUGAAACUGGCGGGCUGGAGUUGGAGAGAAGUACGCGGAAUGCGCGGUGUAGCGGUGAAAUGCUUAGAUAUCACGCAGAACUCCGAUUGCGAAGGCAGCGUACCGGCGCCCAACUGACGCUGAAGCACGAAGGCGUGGGUAUCGAACAGGAUUAGAUACCCCAGUA
rnacentral:rRNA from 1 species